UUGACUACCUAGGACAAUGAGGUCCUCUAUUUAUCCACACAACAAAUUCAGCAUGUGCAGUAGCACAGCAAGCUUUCCUACACUGCCCCACCACUGAACCAAGUUCAGAGACCAUUUCUAGGGCUGAGGGGGUAUAUCUGUCGUCAUGACUUCUUCAGUCCUUGGCCUCU
ensembl:misc_RNA